CCAAGGUGUGCUCAGGUGGAUUGAUCUUUCAAGAACUUACCUUCGAUUCUAAUGAACUAAUGAUGCAUUAAAGCAUUUGAUGUAUUUUUAAGUACUCAUAACUGAGCAAAUUUUAGUGUUCCAAGUUGCUUUCCAUGUGUAUGUUGACUGUCUCCGUGAUUCUCAUCGGCAAAGUUCUCCUGGCAUGAGGACGGGGUUCUAUAUGCAGUAUCUAUUCAAGCUUCAAAGUAGUGUGCCAGUAAACCAAGCAAUAGACAAGGAUUGGAAAGAUGGUGAUUUCUGCUACUGUUAUUUUUCAUAAGGCUAAUCCCAAAAAUUUCUGUGAAUUGCUGUCAAUUCUAUGCUAAUAGCCUCUCGUUCUAGUUCCCAAUUCUCUGACUGCCAAGUUUUUUGAAGUUCUCUGUCUUGUUCUUAGCACUAGUAGCUUAAUCCAAUGCAUGGUAUUGGUGCAACCUAUAUUCCUUUGACUUUUACAUUGUCAUAUCUCUAUUAGAUGUAAACACAUCGUAGCGCUAACUAAUUCAGAGGUUUUUAUACGACAAUAGCUACCCUGUUAUAAUGAAAAGUAUAUGUGCUAAUUGCUAAAUAUCAAGGAGCAAAUAAAAAAUAUAGUUUAAUAGCAUUCAAUUAGUGAUAGAACGAAUUUGGUAUUUGAAAAGCAAUCAAAACAUCUGAGGCUGUGACUGCUCCAACUUUUAGAAACUAAUGCUACUGACAAUUAUCUCUGCUAAGAUCCCUCCCUCUUACCCUCUUCUUAUUUUUGGCAUUUGAAGAACACUGAACACCUAUAGCUGGGCUUCUGACGGUGUGUUGUCAUUUUUGUCUCUCUGGUCAUCAGGCUCUGUUGAUCUGUACUUGUAGCGAGUAGCCCAGAGGAGAUAAUGUAAGAAAUUUAGUCCACUUAAUAUGCACAUCAACCAAUAAAACCUUUCAAGGUGAUAAUGAUUCAAAUUACUCCCGUAGAGCCAUGGCGUUCGCUGAAACCUA
rnacentral:lncRNA from 1 species